ensembl:lncRNA
GCGACGGCCGGUCGCCACGGCAACUGGGCUUGGCUGACAGGUUGUAGUAAUUAGUGAGGGAGAGAGAAAUGGAGUUUGGGGAAUGAAUGAGGGGCGAGGAAGCGACCCGCAUGAACACUACGUUCAUCAGGAGCUGCUGGAGACCAGAAGAGAAGCAUCGGGUGAACAGAGACACAGAAUGGAUGUGCGAGUACGGAUUAUACAGGAGAAAGUGUUAUCCGGACCCAUUGGUCUGUGGACUGCUGUCAUGAAGCCUUGAGUACGGCAAUUUCGGCAUCAUGUUCUUGGAAUACUGCCAGCGCCAUCUUCGCCUUUUGGCCGCCAAUGAACAGACGUU